GGGCUGCAGUAUUUUGACUGUACAAAGGUAGCAUAAUCAAUAGUCUCUUAAUUGGUGACUUGUAUGAAAGAUUGGAUGAGAUAUAUACUGUCUCUAAUUAAUUUAUUGAAAUUAAUUUUUUAGUAAAAAAGCUAAGAUAAUUUUAAAAGACGAGAAGACCCUAUAGAGUUUAAUAAUUUAUUUGAUUAUUAUUAAUAUAUAAUUUUUAAAAUUAAAAUUAAAUAAAUUAUUUUGUUGGGGUGAUAAAAAAAUUAAAUUAACUUUUUUUAAUUAUUGACAUUAAUUUAUGAAUAAGUGAUCCAUUUAUAGUGAUUAAAAGAAAAAAUUACCUUAGGGAUAACAGCGUAAUUUUUUUUUUUAGUUCAAAUAGGAAAAAAAGUUUGCGACCUCGAUGUUGGAUUAA
rnacentral:rRNA from 1 species